rnacentral:rRNA from 1 species
UACGUAGGGUGCAAGCGUUGUCCGGAAUUAUUGGGCGUAAAGGGCUCGUAGGCGGUCCAUCGCGUCGGGAGUGAAAAGCUGGGGCUUAACCCCAGUCCUGCUUCCGAUACGGGUGGACUAGAGGUAGGUAGGGGAGAACGGAAUUCCCGGUGUAGUGGUGAUAUGCGUAGAUAUCGGGAGGAACACCUGUGGCGAAGGCGGCUUCUGGGCCUUACCUGACGCUGAGACGGCGAAAGCGUGGGGAGCGAACCGG